UACAUGAGUCCAGAACAUGAAACACAGUGAGUCCAAAACUGGGGAACAGUUCAAAUUAUCAGGAAUACAGGAGGAGCACAAAGGAAAAGG